rnacentral:lncRNA from 1 species
CCUUUUCUCUCUUUUCCUCUCUCCCACGAUUUGUGUUUGCCCUCUCUUGUGUCGGUACAAGCUCGACACAGCACGACACGGGCCCGUACGGACUCGUGCCGCCGGGCAACCGGUAUGGUGCCCCGAUACCGGUACAACAGGCGGUGUUUAUGACCUUUGGGCCUUGAGCAUGAACAACAAACAAAUGAUGGGAUUUAAAUGGAUGUAAGCAGCAAAUGAUAGGACUAGCGUAUUGAUAUCAUGCUUCAUUUGUAAAGAAUUGCAAAUGAUAGAACAAGCGUAUGAUAGGACUAGCUAUGUCUUCAAUCUGAUGCUAAAAUUGCUGCAUGUUUUCCCUACAUGAGAUGAUAGCAGGCCUUGUGCUUAGAGGCUUAAUAAGGGUUGUUGGUUGCUGAUUUUGAUGUAGUAUUUCAGGGAUCUUAAGGUAGAAUGAUGGGAGAAAAGUGUUUAGUGGUGAUUGGUGAGUGUUAGAAUAGUUGAACAUAGUUACUGGUUCAGAUAGCAGCCUGAAAUGGGGUUUGGUGAUUGAUUUUUGGUUUGAAGGUAUUGGCAUGGGAGAAAAUGUGGAUUUGGCUUGAGGGAAAAAGUCAGAAGAGGGAAAUCUUGGACUUUGUCCGCAUCUUUGAGACAUACUUAGAGAGGGGUUCAAUGACCUCAGACCACUCAAAGAAAUUCAUUGAUCUUUGAUCAUGACCAACAAUUGUCUUUUAUGGCAUUUCUUUGCCAUCUAGAAAGGGAAAGUUAAACUAUAUAGGAACAAAGAAAAUUGGAAUGAAAUUACGGAUCCUGGUGUUGAUUCAUCAUCUUCCAUAUUGUCAGAAUAACAUCAUUGAAUCUCACCGUCUUCGAUAUAUAAUAUAAUCUUUAGUAGAAGCAUGGUCUGCCGUACCGGCCCGUACCGGCCGGUACCGGCCGGUACGUACCGGUCCAGCCUGAGACCGGUACCGGAUCAGCGUGGAAUCCAGUACCGGUAGUUUAUUGUUGAAGAAUCGGUACGGAACCGGUUCGGACCGGUACAUACCGGUCCGGGCCGUCACCGGUACGCCGACCGGUACCGGUACAACGGACCUUGAGUAGAAGAUUAUUUUUAUUUUUGCUAGAAUCUUGAAGAUCUUGGUUGGAGAUUCUUCAACAUUUAGUUGGAUCUUUGAUUGGAAAUUGUCCUUGAUGGUAGAUCACCUUUGUAGCCUAUCCUUCUUCUUUCUUAUUCUUCUACCUUAAGAGAUUCUUUCAGCCAUUUUAUAAGAUUACCUCGGCCAUCGCAGUACUAUCCCCUUGAACAACUAAGAUGAUUCCAUGUGGCAACUUAUUUUGAGAAAAAGGAACUCACUACACAUAAAGAUCAUUACAAUGGAUUAUUCAGGGGACUUAAAAAGAAAGACUCAAAAGGAAAGCUAAGAAGACUAAAAAAAUAGAUCCAAAGGGCUUGAGUUAAGAUUUGAUUGUGGCCUUGACGAGCUCUAAUCAUGUGUAGG